rnacentral:lncRNA from 1 species
UGGGCUACACUGAGGACCAGGUUGUCUCCUGCGACUUCAACAGCAGUUCCCACUCUUUCACCUUUGAUGCUGGGGCUGGCAUUGCUCUCAAUGGCAACUUUGUAAAGCUCAUUUCCUCGUAUGACAAUGAAUAUGGCUACAGCAACAGGGUGGUGGACCUCAUGGCCUACAUGGCCUCCAAGGAGUAAGAAACCCUGAACCACACAGCCCAGCAAGGAUACUGAGACCAAGAGAGAGGCCCUCAGUUGCUGAGGAGUCCCCAUCCCAACUCAACACCCAACACUGAGCAUCUCCCUCACAAUUCCAUCCCAGACCCCAUAAUAACAGGAGGGGCCUAGGGAGCCCUCCCUUCUCUCUUGAAUACCAUCAAUAAAGUUCGCUGCAUGCAAAAACAAAAAACAAAAAACAAAAAACAAAAAAGACCAGUAAAUAUCAUAAAUAAAAUUACAGAGGAAAA